rnacentral:miRNA from 1 species
AGCAGCUCUGGAUGAAUUUUCUAGAAUAAUUAUUUAAAUGCAAGUUUUUACAUUCCAUUUAUAUUUGUACGUGUGUGUGCACAUACACACAUGCAAACACACUC